UAGGUGAACCUGCGGAAGGAUCAUUACCGAGUGCGGGCCCCUCGGGGCCCAACCUCCCACCCGUGUUGCCCGAACCUAUGUUGCCUCGGCGGGCCCCGCGCCCGCCGACGGCCCCCCUGAACGCUGUCUGAAGUUGCAGUCUGAGACCUAUAACGAAAUUAGUUAAAACUUUCAACAACGGAUCUCUUGGUUCCGGCAUCGAUGAAGAACGCAGCGAAAUGCGAUAACUAAUGUGAAUUGCAGAAUUCAGUGAAUCAUCGAGUCUUUGAACGCACAUUGCGCCCUCUGGUAUUCCGGAGGGCAUGCCUGUCCGAGCGUCAUUGCUGCCCUCAAGCCCGGCUUGUGUGUUGGGCCCCGUCCCCCCCGCCGGGGGGACGGGCCCGAAAGGCAGCGGCGGCACCGCGUCCGGUCCUCGAGCGUAUGGGGCUUCGUCACCCGCUCUAGUAGGCCCGGCCGGCGCCAGCCGACCCCCAACCUUUAAUUAUCUCAGGUUGACCUC
rnacentral:rRNA from 1 species